rnacentral:tRNA from 1 species
GGGGUUGUAGCUCAGUGGUAGAGUGUGUGCUUAGCACGCGCGAGGUUCUGGGUUCAAUCCCCGGUACCUCCA